rnacentral:rRNA from 1 species
UACGGAGGUGGCAAGCGUUGCUCGGAAUCACUGGGCGUAAAGGGCGCGUAGGCGGGUGGGUAAGUCGGGUGUGAAAUCCCUCGGCCCAACCGAGGAACUGCGCCCGAGACUGCUUCUCUUGAGUCCCGGAGAGGAAGGUGGAAUUCCCGGUGUAGCGGUGAAAUGCGUAGAUAUCAGGAGGAACACCGGUGGCGAAGGCGGCUAUCUGGACAGAGUCUGACGCUGAGGCGCGAAAGCUAGGGGAGCAAACAGG